AGAGUUUGAUCCUGGCUCAGAACGAACGCUGGCGGCGUGCCUAACACAUGCAAGUCGAACGGGAAAGUCCCCUUCGGGGGAUGAGUACAGUGGCGCACAGGUGAGUAACACGUAGGUAAUCUACCCUCGGGUUCGGGACAACAUUCCGAAAGGAGUGCUAAUACCGGGUAAGACCACGCCCUCUGCGGAGGGUGAGGUAAAAGGUGGCCUCUCCAUGGAAGCUAUCGCCUGAGGAUGAGCCUGCGGCCUAUCAUGGUAGUUGGUAGGGUAACGGCCUACCAAGCCUACGACGGGUAGCUGGUCUGAGAGGAUGGUCAGCCACACUGGAACUGAGACACGGUCCAGACUCCUACGGGAGACAGCAGUGGGGAAUAUUGCGCAAUGGGCGAAAGCCUGACGCAGCGACGCCGCGUGAGUGAUGAAGGCCUUCGGGUCGUAAAGCUCUGUAGGAUGGGGACGAACGCUCCCGGGGAAUAAUACCUCCGGGAUUUGACGGUACCUGUCCAGAAAGCACCGGCUAACUCCGUGCCAGCAGCCGCGGUAAUACGGAGGGUGCUAGCGUUGUUCGGAAUCAUUGGGCGUAAAGCGCGUGUAGGCGGGUUGGCAUGUCCGUUGUGAAAUCCCUCGGCCUAACCGAGGAACUGCAGCGGAAACUGCCAGUCUUGAGUACGGGAGAGGGAAGGGGAAUUUCCAGUGGAGUGGUGAAAUACGUUGAUAUUGGAAGGAACACCGGUGGCGAAGGCGCCUUCCUGGACCGUCACUGACGCUGAGACGCGAAAGCGUGGGGAGCAAACAGGAUUAGAUACCCUGGUAGUCCACGCCGUAAACGAUGAGGACUAGGUGUUGCGGGUAUUGACCCCUUCAGUGCCGAAGCUAACGCAUUAAGUGAACCGCCUGGGGAGUACGGUCGCAAGAUUAAAACUCAAAGGAAUUGACGGGGGCCCGCACAAGCGGUGGAGCAUGUGGUUUAAUUCGAUGCAACGCGAAGAACCUUACCUGGGCUUGACAUCCCGGGAAUCUUCUGGAAACAGGAGAGUGCCCUUCGGGGAACCCGGAGACAGGUGCUGCAUGGCCGUCGUCAGCUCGUGUCGUGAGAUGUUGGGUUAAGUCCCGCAACGAGCGCAACCCUUGUCUUUAAUUGCCAUCAUUCAGUUGGGCACUUUAAAGAGACUGCCGGCGUUAAACCGGAGGAAGGUGGGGAUGACGUCAAGUCCUCAUGGCCUUUAUGCCCAGGGCUACACACGUGCUACAAUGGGUGGUACAAAGAGCAGCCAACUCGCGAGAGUGAGCAAAUCUCAAAAAGCCAUCCUCAGUUCGGAUUGGAGUCUGCAACUCGACUCCAUGAAGUCGGUAUCGCUAGUAAUCGCGGAUCAGCAUGCCGCGGUGAAUACGUUCCCGGGCCUUGCACUCACCGCCCGUCA
rnacentral:rRNA from 1 species